rnacentral:rRNA from 1 species
AUUGAACGCUGGCGGUAUGCUUAAGACAUGCAAGUCGAACGGUAACAGGUUAAGCUGACGAGUGGCGGACGAGUGAGUAACGCGUGGGAAUCUACCUUGUAGUGGGGGAUAAGCCAGGGAAACUUGGACUAAUACCGCAUGCGCCCUAAGGGGGAAAGCCGGGGACCGCAAGGCCUGGCGCGAUUGGAUGAGCCCAUGUUCGAUUAGCUAGUUGGCGGGGUAAAGGCCCACCAAGGCGACGAUCGAUAGCUGGUCUGAGAGGAUGAUCAGCCACACUGGAACUGAGACACGGUCCAGACUCCUACGGGAGGCAGCAGUAGGGAAUAUUGGACAAUGGGGGCAACCCUGAUCCAGCCAUGCCGCGUGAGUGAAGAAGGCCCUCGGGUUGUAAAGCUCUUUUGUCCGGAAAGAAAGCAAUCGGUUAAUACCCGGUUGUUCUGACGGUACCGGAAGAAUAAGCACCGGCUAACUUCGUGCCAGCAGCCGCGGUAAGGUGCGCGAGU